rnacentral:lncRNA from 1 species
UGUGUGUCUGUGUGUUGAGUGUGAGUGUGUAUGUGUGUGUAGGGGUCGGGGUGGGGGGGUCCGUGUUCGCGAUCUGAACCUUUGGUACCUACAAGGAGGGUGUCUCACCGAACGGUAGCUAAGACCUCACCAGGACCGCGCGAAGUGAGGAGUCGCGUCCAAAGGCGCCCGCCGGAGCCUCGUCUCUGGGCCGGACCCCAACCCGAGCGGCCGAAAGGAACCCCCCGCCCGGAUCACAGGGCUGCCCCGCGGAGCCAAGCCCACUGCAGAGCACUCGGAUCCUGACACCCGGCGCCGAGUUGGGGAAGGACCUGAAAGGGCUACCAGGUGGUUAGGUGUUGAGUUGGAAGCAAGGAGUAAUUAACAUUGAGACAAAAGCUGCCGCUGAAAUUCGCUGCGGCCGCUGCCUCUUCCCGCUUUAAUCCCAGACCUCCAGUCAUUGGGCAGCUCCUCAGAGGCAAGAAGUCAACACCAUGGCAACCCGACAAGCCUAUCAGAUCACCGGCUGGUGUGACAGCAGCAACGCUGCAGGCUGGAGUGGGCUGGGCAGAAGAGCAGAGUGGCCUCUACGCUCAGCGACAAAAUGAUACCAUCAUUUUUAUGUGA